rnacentral:rRNA from 1 species
ACGGGUGAGUAAUAUAUCGGAACGUGCCCAAUCGUGGGGGAUAACGUAGAGAAAUUUACGCUAAUACCGCAUACGAUCUAAGGAUGAAAGCGGGGGAUCGCAAGACCUCGCGCGAUUGGAGCGGCUGAUAUCAGAUUAGGUUGUUGGUAAGGUAAAAGCUCACCAAGCCGACGAUCUGUAGCUGGUUUGAGAGAACGACCAGCCACACUGGGACUGAGACACGGCCCAGACUCCUACGGGAGGCAGCAGUGGGGAAUUUUGGACAAUGGGCGAAAGCCUGAUCCAGCAAUGCCGCGUGCAGGAAGAAGGCCUUCGGGUUGUAAACUGCUUUUGUACGGAACGAAACGGCUCUUUCUAAUAAAGAGGGCUAAUGACGGUACCGUAAGAAUAAGCACCGGCUAACUACGUGCCAGCAGCCGCGGUAAUACGUAGGGUGCGAGCGUUAAUCGGAAUUACUGGGCGUAAAGCGUGCGCAGGCGGUUAUAUAAGACAGUUGUGAAAUCCCCGGGCUCAACCUGGGAAUUGCAUCUGUGACUGUAUAGCUAGAGUACGGUAGAGGGGGAUGGAAUUCCGCGUGUAGCAGUGAAAUGC